GUUGACACUUGCACGCCGCGCUUGUUGUUUUCUAGACAAGAACACGUUUCAACAUGUUAAAAUUUAGAUUCGCUCUUACGUUCAGUUUGCUUUUACCAUCGGUUGGUUUGUGCGCAGGGACUCAGCUCGCUACUUGUGAUUUUAAUUCGGUAAAACGUGUUUAUUCAUUUAAUAAAAUGUAGUAGUUAUUUCAUGGUAACAAGAACCUAUUUUGUUUUGGUAAUAUAACGAGUGCUGGUGUUUCGAAUACUCGGGAUGAAUAUACUAAUACAAAUUAGGUGUUCUUAAUUGAUCUGUGCGUGUGUGGCUUCCCAGCUUGGAACAGCCAUCGAAUAACUUCAAAUAACAUCAAAAUGCCGCCUUGGUACUUAUCUGCAUGUACGGGCAUGCGCCUCCGGCGCUCUGGUCGAUCGAUCUGUUUUCUUUUUGUAACGCCCUGUACAUUUGUUUCCCAGAGUAACGGUGAAAAACGAGCGAUAUUAGAGUGUUUAGAUGUUUUCUUGAUGUCUCUGCACUUAAAAUUUUUCUUUUGUAACACCCUGUAUAUUUGUUUCCAUUUUCCAUCACCUAGAAAAUGGGCAAUUUGCUAAUUUUUUUAUCCCGGUAGAAUAUUUUGACGUGUUACUUGCUUACAUGUACGCAACGAUGCAGGUCGAAAGAUCUGUGUCAAUAUGGCAGCAUGUAUUUUGUUGGCUUGUAAAAUCUAAACUUGUAUUCUAUUGUUAAUAAAGAAAUAGUAAAAUAUA